GGACUACACGGGUAUCUAAUCCCAUUCGCUACCCUAGCUUUCGUUCCUCAGCGUCAGUUAUGGCCCAGCAAGCCGCUUGCGCCACCGGUGUUCUUCCCAAUAUCUACGCAUUUCACCGCUACACUGGGAAUUCCGCUUGCCUCUACCAUACUCGAGUCUGCCAGUAUCCAAUGCACUCCCAGGGUUGAGCCCCAGUCUUUAACAUCAGACUUAACAAACCGCCUACGAACUCUUUACGCCCAAUAAAUCCGGACAACGCUCGCAUCCUACGUCUUACCGCGGCUGCUGGCAC
rnacentral:rRNA from 1 species